UGCUCAGUGGGCCCCUUGGACAGAGGAGGCCUUGGAGUGGGUGAGUUUCCUGACUCCCAGACAGGGGUCUGCCCCUCACAAGGGGGUUGCCAGGGGCCUUGGCUCUUCAGCAGAAAUGUAUGGAGCAGCCACAUGCUGGGACGCAGUGACAAACCCGACCAACACCAGCUAGCCCAUUCAGGCUCCAGGGAGGCUCUCUGGCCUUGGCCUUGGGAAUGGUUUGGACCCAGAUGUGAGCUCCUGGUAAUCUGACUGCUCAGGCUGCCAGGCGAAGUGUCCCUGCAGUGUGAUGCUGGCCAGGCGGAGAAGAACUGGGCCUUCCAGGCAGAAGGAGCUGGGCAGAACCUGGAGGUAGAAACAAGGUGGACAGACACAGUAAUCUGUGCCCAACAUGGGGCUCAAACUCAGGACCCUGAGAUCGAGAGUUGCAUAGUCCACUGACUGAGCCAGCCCGGUGCCCCUCGUUGAUCACAAUUUUAGUAUUACAAAGGAAGUAAUCAAAUCGGACAGCUUGACUUCAACCAGUAGCUUCCCACUGGUAGGUGCUUCUUAGGACAAACGCCCCUGUCCACAGACACCUUCCACUGAGGCCCGGGAGCGAAAGAUCACCCCUGACCUCCUCGUUUCCCCCAGUCACUUCCAGUUUUCUUCGUGUACUUUAAUGGUGAUGAUGCUCUUGUACGUGGACACUGAUGUCAGAGUUCGUUCUCCUUGUGAAAUUUGGAGGUGACUAACCCGGCUUUCUCCGUUUGAUCAUCCGUCCUCACAGCCACGAAGAAUUCCCACGCGGGGAUUUUCCUCGAAAGAGUCAUCCCUUUAAUGGCGUGAAAUACACAAACAAAACUUAAAUGCCAUUUAGACUAAGGCUAUAAAUUCUAGUCCAGCAAACAGUCCUACAAAAUCAGAAUUAAGAUGGAAUCUAUUUUUCUGUCUUGUAUUAUUAUUUAAACUAUUAGCUGCAUUUGUAGACUUGAAAAGGAAACAGCUUUCCCCCUGAAGUGAUCACGUUAUUACUGCCUCUCAUAAGAUCGUAUUAACUAUCCACUUCUCUUUAUUUAUCUGUUUGAACUUCAUCUUUUCUGUAUAUAAGAUUAACAUUGUUCAUAAUCAAUAUAAUUUGUGGAAGCGUGUUGCUCUCAUUGUAAUAAAUCCUGUCUGUGUUUACACCCCAACCCACUAGCACACCUCAGUAUGUAAUGCACUCCCAGUUGCAUCUGGAAGCUUCCCUAGAAAGUGACCCACCUGCCCGGCCAGGCCUUGCACGGGUGUUGGCUCCUGCUUGCCUGUGUGACUACAGUCCAUGGCUACACAUGAACUUGGGGAGCCCAGACCUGGUGCACAAGUGGAUAAAAAUUGAAGCUGAAACCAAAACUGGGGGUAGAUUUUGUCUGCUUGGGGUACCCAUGUGGGCAGGAUAUUUGCUUAUGAACUCGGGGUGGUGCCACCUCCAGCACCCCCAGAGACCCCUUGCAGCCACUCCAUUCAGCAGGCUUGGACCCCAGGCCCAGCAAUCCUGUCCUCUGGCUGCCCCCAGCCCUGAAAAGGGACUGGUCCAGAUGCAUUUAUUUUGCCCAGUUAUUAACCUGGGCCUCAACUCCCAACAGAGUUCCUUCCUGGGGUUUGGAUCCGCUUGCAAUGGCCGAGUGAGACCCGAGGCCUGCUGCUUUCCAGGGCACACUGUUACAAUUCCUGCCCCCUUUACUCUGAGCUCCCCCUCUUCUCCCUCCUGUCUGAUCCUGCGUGUAUCUUGGGAGGUGGGAUGUCCGUUCAGGGGUGGUAGGCAAUGCAGGUUGAGGGAGUUGUGGCUCUGUUUCUUUGGAGAGACAGGGAGAGAUUCCUACCCAGACUCCAUGGGAGUUGCUUAGCUCUGCAGCUCUAUAGCGUGGCCAUAGUGUUGGGGAGUAUGUGGGGCACAGAGAAAAGAGCUGGGAUGACCUUGGUUAGGUGGCCCCCUCCUGCUCUUGGGACUCAAGCCAGGAAGGUAGGUCUAGCUGCCGGUCAUUGUGUGACAGGCUCAGGCCUCCCCCUUUCAGGGUCCUCCUCUGAGAAAGGAUGGCUUCGGGUGUUGGGGAGUGCACGGUGUCUUCAAAACCACCGCUACUUCUGAUAUUUUAUUUCUGGUGCCCUCAGACUUGGAAAAAUAUCCGAUGUUCAGAGAAAGUGCAAGAAUAGUACCGCGAGGGGUGCCUGCCUGGGUGGCUCAGUCGGUUAAGCGUCUGACUCUUGAUUUCAGCUCAGGUCAUGAUCUCGGGGUCAUGGGACCGAGCCCCGAGUCAGGCUCUAUGCUCUGCAGGGAGUUUGCUUAAAGUUCUCUCCCUCUCCCUCUACCCCUCCCCCUGCUCACGCUCUGUAAACAAAUAAACAAAUAAAAUCUUUACCAAAAGACAAAUACUACGGUGAAC